GAUGAACGCUGGCGGCGUGCCUAAUACAUGCAAGUCGAGCGAACGGACGAGAAGCUUGCUUCUCUGAUGUUAGCGGCGGACGGGUGAGUAACACGUGGAUAACCUACCUAUAAGACUGGGAUAACUUCGGGAAACCGGAGCUAAUACCGGAUAAUAUUUUGAACCGCAUGGUUCAAAAGUGAAAGACGGUCUUGCUGUCACUUAUAGAUGGAUCCGCGCUGCAUUAGCUAGUUGGUAAGGUAACGGCUUACCAAGGCAACGAUGCAUAGCCGACCUGAGAGGGUGAUAGGCCACACGGGAAGUGAGACACGGUCCAGACUCCUACGGGAGGCAGCAGUAGGGAAUCUUACGCAAUGGGCGAAAGCCUGACGGAGCAACGCCGCGUGAGUGAUGAAGGUCUUCGGAUCGUAAAACUCUGUUAUUAGGGAAGAACAUAUGUGUAAGUAACUGUGCACAUCUUGACGGUACCUAAUCAGAAAGCCACGGCUAACUACGUG
rnacentral:rRNA from 1 species